GUGAGGAAUUUUGCGCAAUGGGGGCAACCCUGACGCAGCGACGCCGCGUGGAGGAUGAAGUCUUUCGGGAUGUAAACUCCUGUCAGUGGGGACGAUAAUGACGGUACCCACAGAGGAAGCACCGGCUAACUCCGUGCCAGCAGCCGCGGUAAGACGGAGGGUGCAAGCGUUGUUCGGAAUUACUGGGCGUAAAGCGUACGUAGGCGGCAAGUUAAGUUCAAUGUUAAAGCCCACGGCUCAACCGAGGAGAUGCAUUGAAUACUGGCUAGCUAGAGGGUGUUAGAGGAAGACGGAAUUCCCAGUGUAGCGGUGAAAUGCGUAGAUAUUGGGAGGAACAUCGGUAGCGAAAGCGGUCUUCUGGGACACACCUGACGCUGAGGUACGAAAGCGUGGGGAGCAAACGGGAUUAGAUACCCGUGUAGUCC
rnacentral:rRNA from 1 species